GACGAACGCUGGCGGCGUGCUUAACACAUGCAAGUCGAACGGAAAGACCCUGCUUUUGUGGGGUGCUCGAGUGGCGAACGGGUGAGUAACACGUGAGUAACCUGCCCUUGACUUUGGGAUAACUUCAGGAAACUGGGGCUAAUACCGGAUAGGAGCUCCUGCUGCAUGGUGGGGGUUGGAAAGUUUCGGCGGUUGGGGAUGGACUCGCGGCCUAUCAGCUUGUUGGUGGGGUAGUGGCUUACCAAGGCUUUGACGGGUAGCCGGCCUGAGAGGGUGACCGGCCACAUUGGGACUGAGAUACGGCCCAGACUCCUACGGGAGGCAGCAGUGGGGAAUAUUGCACAAUGGGCGGAAGCCUGAUGCAGCAACGCCGCGUGCGGGAUGACGGCCUUCGGGUUGUAAACCGCUUUCGCCUGUGACGAAGCGUGAGUGACGGUAAUGGGUAAAGAAGCACCGGCUAACUACGUG
rnacentral:rRNA from 1 species